AGCGCAGGCGGUUUUUUAAGUCUGAUGUGAAAGCCUUCGGCUCAACCGAAGAAGUGCAUCGGAAACUGGGAAACUUGAGUGCAGAGGAGGACAGUGGAACUCCAUGUGUAGCGGUGAAAUGCGUAGAUAUAUGGAAGAACACCAGUGGCGAAGGCGGCUGCCUGGUCUGUAACUGACGCUGAGGACUCAAGGUAUGGUAGCAAACA
rnacentral:rRNA from 1 species